rnacentral:rRNA from 1 species
GUGGUUCACUGCCCGAGUUGUAAUCUAGAGAAGUGUUGCUCACACUGGACCAUGUAUAAGUCUUCUGGAAUGAAGCGUCAUAGAGGGUGAGAAUCCCGUCUUUGACAUGGACUCCCAGUGUAUUUGUAGCAUGCUCUCAAAGAGUCGAGUUGUUUGGGAAUGCAGCUCUAAAUGGGUGGUAACCUCCAUCUAAAGCUAAAUAUUGGCGAGAGACCGAUAGUGAACAAGUACCGUGAGGGAAAGAUGAAAAGAACUUUGGAAAGAGAGUUAAAAAGUACGUGAAAUUGUUGAAAGGGAAACGCUUGAAGUCAGUCACAUUGGCCAGGGAUCAACUUGCUUAAGUGUACUUCCUGGCUGAUGGGCCAACAUCAGCUUUGACUGUCAGAGAAGGGUAGGGGGAAUGUGGCACCCUUCUUGGGUGUGUUAUAGCCCUCUGUCAUAUAUGGCGGUUGGGGCUGAGGAAUGCAGCGCGCCACAAGGCC